rnacentral:lncRNA from 1 species
UUAAACUAGGAAAAUUUUUAAACUAGGAAACUUUAAAAUAAAGGGUUUUAAACUAGAAAGCUUUGACUAAACUUUGACUUAAACCAUUUAGCCUUUUGGGCUCCUUUGUUGGGCUUUGUGUGGCCCAAUCUUCUUCCAUUUGGGCUUGGACUUGAACCAUAAAAUAUGUGUAGCACCUACUCCAUUCUUCUCCACAAUUAUUGGACUCGUUAUUAGGCUUUUCUUCCAUGAUAAGCAUCUUCUUGAUUUUCCAUUGAAGCCCAACGAC